rnacentral:rRNA from 1 species
UACGUAGGGGGGCGAGCGUUGUCCGGAUUUAUUGGGCGUAAAGAGCGUGUAGGCGGCCAGGUAGGUCUGCUGUGAAAACUCGAGGCUCAACCUCGAGACGUCGGCGGAAACCAUCUGGCUAGAGUCCGGAAGAGGAGAGUGGAAUUCCUGGUGUAGCGGUGAAAUGCGCAGAUAUCAGGAAGAACACCCGUGGCGAAGGCGGCUCUCUGGGACGUAACUGACGCUGAGACGCGAAAAGCGUGGGGGAGCAAACAGGG